rnacentral:rRNA from 1 species
AUACGGAGGGUGCAGGCGUUACUCGGAAUCACUUGGCGUAAAGCGCGCGCAGGCGGCCAUUUAAGUUGGAUGUGAAAGCCUACGGCUCAACCGUAGAACUGCAUCCAAAACUAUUUGGCUAGAGUGUGAGAGAGGAAGAUGGAAUUAGUUGUGUAGGGGUAAAAUCCGUAGAGAUAACUAGUAAUACCAAAAGCGAAGGCAAUCUUCUGGAACAUUACUGACGCUGAGGCGCGAAAGCGUGGGGAGCAAACAGGAUUAGAAACCCCGGUAGUCC